rnacentral:rRNA from 1 species
CCUACGGGGGGCAGCAGUGGGGAAUAUUGGACAAUGGGGGCAACCCUGAUCCAGCCAUGCCGCGUGUGUGAAGAAGGCCCUCGGGUUGUAAAGCACUUUCAGUGAGGAAGAACGCCUGGUGGUUAAUACCCAUCAGGAAAGACAUCACUCACAGAAGAAGCACCGGCUAACUCCGUGCCAGCAGCCGCGGUAAUACGGAGGGUGCGAGCGUUAAUCGGAAUUACUGGGCGUAAAGCGCGCGUAGGUGGCUUGAUAAGCCGGUUGUGAAAGCCCCGGGCUCAACCUGGGAACGGCAUCCGGAACUGUCAAGCUAGAGUGCAGGAGAGGAAGGUAGAAUUCCCGGUGUAGCGGUGAAAUGCGUAGAGAUCGGGAGGAAUACCAGUGGCGAAGGCGGCCUUCUGGACUGACACUGACACUGAGGUGCGAAAUCGUGGGUAGCAAACAGGAUUAGAUACCCGUGUAGUC